rnacentral:lncRNA from 1 species
UUUCUCUGGUCACCAACUCUUUUCCUUAGGCCUCCUAAUCCUUCUUAGGACUCUUGCUGGGCUUUACCUAGUGUUCUAAGAUUUAUUCGGUUUAUGCCGAUCUAGGAGCCCAGUAAAAGCUACGUGCACUCGUUAUAUUUGGUUUAUACUUGCUCAGGUACUAAGCGUAAUAGGCUGGCCACUCCUUAAGCAUCCAUAGAAGUCUCGCAAGCUUAGGAUGCAUGAAGUCUGUUGAAAUGAAGUUCCUUUUUAUUUUGAUUCCGCCUGUGGAUUCUAU